GACGAACGCUGGCGGCGUGCUUAACACAUGCAAGUCGAACGGAAAGGCCCUGCUUUUGUGGGGUGCUCGAGUGGCGAACGGGUGAGCAACACGUGAGUAACCUGCCCUUGACUUUGGGAUAACUUCAGGAAACUGGGGCUAAUACCGGAUAGGAGCUCCUGCUGCAUGGUGGGGGUUGGAAAGUUUCGGCGGUUGGGGAUGGACGCGCGGCUUAUCAGCUUGUUGGUGGGGUAGUGGCUUACCAAGGCUUUGACGGGUAGCCGGCCUGAGAGGGUGACCGGCCACAUUGGGACUGAGAUACGGCCCAGACUCCUACGGUAGGCAGCAGUGGGGAAUAUUGCACAAUGGGCGGAAGCCUGAUGCAGCAACGCCGCGUGCGGGAUGACGGCCUUCGGGUUGUAAACCGCUUUCGCCUGUGACGGAGCGUGAGUGACGGUAAUGGGUAAAGAAGCACCGGCUAACUACGUG
rnacentral:rRNA from 1 species